rnacentral:lncRNA from 1 species
AUAAUGCAUGUUUGUAUGCAUAAUGCGUGCACCUGUGUAAUUGCCACUUUUUAAUUUUCAAAUUCAUACAGUUACAGUGUAUAUAUGUAACACCACUCAUUCACAAAUUGGUUGCUUCGCAAUCACAUCUACUUUGUCUGAACUUGGCUGCUAAGUUGAGGAAUUGAGUGAGUCAAAAGGUAAUAAGCAGUUAUCUUACACCGCAAGCUCUUUAGUCUUAUUAUCUCUUUAGUGCUUACAUGUUUGUCAUAACUUUCAGAUAAUGGUUAUGGCGUUGACACCAAGAUAACUCAAUUUCCAGGACCUGCAUUUCAAGCACACUAUGGCGGGCCUAACCAACCGCGUGUAAGUUCGUACUAAUUAACCAACUUUAAGAGUUUCUUCUAAUUACUUGUAUCAAUACCUUCUAAAUCCUUUAAACCCUGUUACACUUUUCUGCCAUAUUCAUACGAAUGCGAAGUUGACCAAGUGUAAAAAUUCCAUAAUGUUUGUUUGUAGUCUGAUUGUGUUGUUGGCUUGUUAUUGUUGCUCAUAACUAUAUGGAGAAAACCUCGUACUAGUUAAAUAAUAUAAAAGAGAUAAUCUUUUUUUUUUCAAUUAUAAUUUUUCAUUGCAUUAACCCUUCUUUUUGUCUACAUUUUUUUCUCUCUCAGUUAUUGUUUUUGCCGGUUUUCUUUUUCUUUUUCCUGUCUUUUUUCAUUAGUUUUUUUGUAUAAGAUUCUAGCAUUCCCAAACCUAGUGUAGUGGAAGUUUUGCUUUUGUAGCCGAUAAGUUCUCUAACAAAUAUAGUUAGUCUAUCAUACGGAAAUAGUGGUGUCAAGAAUGAGUCAACUUAUGUAAGACAUCUGAUAUAAUUUUUAACCAAAAAAUCUGAUAUAAUUUUUAACCAAAAAUCUUAAGUAAUGGGUUAGUGAUUUUCUUUCUUAUAUUUUUGUUCAAUUUUUUUUUUAUUUUUACUCAAUAUCAGACUUAUAUUAAUAUUUAAAUUUUUAAUAAUUACUUUUUUAUUUCUAUUCAAUGUGAGACUUAGCUUCACAUUUUUUUAACCGUCUUCUAUUUAAGUGUGAGUGCCUUUUAAGUUGGUAUAUUUUUCAUUGAUUCUUACCUUUACUUUAGUAGUAUUGUUUACCAUAAUGAGAUAUGCUUUCCUAAAACUUCUCAAACUUUCGAUACAAGAAAUUCUCACAUUCUUCACUUACUCUCUGUACUAGUCACCAAGGAAGGAGGUUAUCCAGGUUGAAUUUGGUUUUGAAAUCGAACAAACUAUAUUUUUGACGAGUACCAUCUACAAUCAUAUCAUUUGUUUGAUCGGGUAUACCCCUUUAAUAAUCUUGGUUUGAAUCUUUUUUUAUCUACAAUAAUGAAUAAAUAUGAUUACUAGAGAUACUCUAACCCAUAUACAAAAAUCCUAUAGCGUAAAAAGGUAUAUUACAUGUACAUCCCUUUCUAAAAUGUCACAUCACUUGAUUCUUAACUAGAGCAAUACACUUGUCUAUAAAGCAUAAAUCCAUGAUCCACAACAUAUUACAUAAACUUUCCAUUCUAUUUCAAAAAUAAACUCCUCUUAUAGAAGAGGGGGAAAAUGUUCAAACUCCAGACCCUUGCGUCUAAGCUAAAUGCAAACAAACUUGUAUUCUCCUUGUGACCAGGACCUAACCAACAAAAGAAAUAAAAAUUGCAAGGAAAACUAUUACUUUACAAAUUUCAAACCAUACGAGGGAAAAUGAAGAAGUUUACAUUUGUAGAUGGUACCCUUCUACAAUCAUAUCAUGCUAAUCCUAGGUUUAAUUGUUGAAUACCAUGUUACAAAGUUUAGGUUUUAGGAGAUUGAAGGCAUAUUGAAUGUCAAUCAAGAGUAUUUAGUGGUAUUAAUAUGACAACUCAAGAACAUUAAAAUGUGUGGUAUUUAGACAAUGGUUGCAUGCAACAAUCAUAUGACCGGAGAUAAAAAAAAAAAAAGCAUUUGUUUACAUGGAUUCAUCAUUUUCCUCAAAAGUUAAAUUAGUCAAUGGAGAGUAUGUCAAAGUAGAAGGAAAAGGAAACAUUGGAGUCACAAUAAAGCAAGAGGCGGCCAAAGUGAUUCAUGAUACUCUUUUAUGUGUCAAAAUAAGAUAAAAAUUUAUUUAGCACUACACAACUUUUGUAGCGCAAUUAUUUACUUUGAUUUGAGAAUUGGAAGUGCAAAGCUUUUUAUUCAAAAGGAAAAAUUGUUGUUGUGGUAGAAAAGACAAAUAACAAGUACUCUUUGCAAACAAAUCCCAAACAUUACACGAUUUUAAUUAAACAUAAAUCCCAAACUUAAUCAAAGUCAUGCAAGCAUUAUAUGAUGUAUGUACAAAUUGAUUUAGUUAUGACACAACUUUCAUCAUAACUUUCUGAAUGAAAGUCAUGUGUCCCUAACACAAUUUCUUUGUAUGAAAUCGUUUUGAGGAGAUAUAACUUGUCUAAAUUCAUAAUAUUUUUUUUAUCUAUAUCCACAAUAAAGGAUCUAAAUUGUACGAUUUGUAUGAAAAAUCGAUUAUAACCACAUUACUUUAUGUCAAACCACCACCAUGUUGAAGAACAUUUGUAAUUUGUAAGUCGAAGAUUGUGGACUCUCUUAAAUACUUCUUUAGUUAGAUGCAAAGUAAUCUAAAGAAUUAUUUCAUGCCAUAGAAAAACAAUACACAAAUUAUAUAUAUAUAUAUAUAUAUAUAUAUAUUUUGUUAUAAGGUGAUGCCAGCAAUAGAGUGCGUCCAAAAAGUCUAGACAAGUUAUAUUCAUGUAGUCCAACUUGCAUACACUUUAGUUUUCUCUAUUUUGUCGUAUGUGAGACUUGUAUAUUCACCAAGACCCCUCUUCAAUUGAAUUGAUCUAUUUGUUGGCUUGAUUGUGACUUGCACAUACCAUCUUAGUCUCAAGGUUGACAAAUAAAUACCACCUUAACGUGAUGUCAAGUUUUAGUUGUAAUUUUUUCAAUAAGUUAGGCUUAUCUUUAUGUUGUUCAAAUUAUCUUAAAAGACACUUUUUUUUUUUUAGUUUAUACCAGGAGUUAAACUUCCUGCACCUUAUAUAUUUCUUGGGUACAUAUUGAGUGCAGGAAGAAAUUCACUUACAUGAGUUUAUGUUUCUUAAGCUUCAAAGCCUAUUUCCUGUUUUUUUUAGUUUGGAUAUCAACAGUUAUAGGCCAGUGUGCUCUUAUACCAUUUCAAAUUGGGCAAUUGCUUCUACCUGUAUUGGAUUUUUUUUUCUUUUUAGAUGGCUAGAUCUGAAAGUCAUCAAUUUUAUAUAUAAAUUACAUUUCUAAUUGUUAGUCAAUCGUAAAUGUGAAAAAAGUAAAAGAAGAAAAUUUUAAAAUACAGAAAGUACUAUUGCCUUUAAAUUGUUGAGUGUGAGUCCAAUAGCAAAGUGUGGAUGAACUAUUAGUCCCAGACUUUUCAACGAAUAAUCGUUUGAGAAAAAAAAUUGCUUGGUAAUUGUCCAAAAGUCUAGGCCAACAAAAUUCAAGCAUUUUUCCACUUAUAUACAAUUUUAGUUUUUUUUUCUAUUUUACCCGUUGACUUAGUAUUCUCAAACACAUGAUAGUUGGCAUUAUCUUACACGGUGUAAUCUUUGAGAAUGCCAUCACAUCUAAGUUGGAGGCACCGUCCAUCAUUUGAUAUGUUUGAUAUAUGUUCAAUAGUCUGCUGAGACUAUUUUUGUGAUAUUUUUUUUUAUAAGUAAAAAAUUAAUUUAAUUAAAAAGAAAUAUUUUAGAAUAUCCCAAUCUAUUUAUAAAUAUUAGUGAACAUAGUAUUUUUUUUUUCUUUUAGCAAUACUCCAUCCACCAAUUUCAGUGAAACUACUUCCUUUUCCUCGACUCCACAUAACUAGCAGCUAAAUAUAUAAUUAUUGAUUGUUUUGUGUAUUGCAUAGUGGCAUGAGAAUGAUGAAAAUUGUUCUCUGGUUUAUUAUUGAUUUUAAAUUAUAUGUUUAAAUAGUUCUAAUUUUUUUAUCAACAAUAAAUAUAUUUAGAGAUGUUGCAAUCCUUAUACAUGGAUUAUUUCUACCAAUACAAUCCACCGAAAUUCAAUCAACACACAUGCCUAGGUACUUUAGUUCUAACCUAGAUACUUUGUUUCUAGCUUUCGUUUAACUACAGUACUCCAAUACAAAAGUGCUUUCCAAAUUUGCACUAGAACCAAAUUUAGUAGGCCCAAACAUAUGCCCUAUGCUUCACAAGUAAGCAACUAUUAUGCAGCAAAAGGCUUAAAAAAUUGCAGCAAAAUAGUUCUACAUGGAGAAAAGAUUUAUAGGAUUCAAAUAUUCUUGAGUUCCCACAAAAGUAAGAGGUAAUUUCAAAUUUUGUUCCUGUAUUACUAUGAGGGAUUCCAGGUGUCGGGCAGAAAAUUACGGAGAAAGUGAGGGUGGAUGAAAAGGACAAAACUUACAUUAAUAUUGGUAUUUUAAUGCUGCUUUAUAAUUCACUUUGAAAAUAUUAUGGCAGCAAUGUGUCUUAAAAUUAAGAGAAAUCUUAAAUAUAAUUAGAAAAUAACAUCAACAAUAUAUAUUGUGUUGUAUGUAAGUUAUUUUCUAAAACGAUAAACAGUACAAGAUGAUAAUUAUAAACAGACUGAAAUUUAAGUCACGAAAAUUGUUAAGAAAUAUAUAAUAAAGAGAGUACAAGGUUUUGGUUGCCUUUUUGUUCAUUGUCGGAUUCGGAAAAGAAAGCCUACUUCCUUCUCUCUCUUUCUUCCUCUUUCCGCCUCCUUUAAACCCUAUAUAUCCUUCACCCACAAAACCACAACACCAUUUAAGUACUUUUCCCUCAAAACUAAGUCAAAUUAAUGCUACUGUUUCUUCGAUGCUUGUCUCACUUUUCAGCUGUCCUUUUGGUAAAACCAGGAAAAUGUUCAGGAAAGAUGGUGAUGAACAAUGGAAACACUAUUGGAUAUGAGGUAUGUGUGAUUUCUUUCAUUCCAUUUUCAUGGGUGAAAAGGAAAACUCUAUCGUCAGGAAUUAUUUCUGGGAAUGGAAUUAGUUGGAUCAUCAUAAAGAGGAUGAUAGCAUUUCUUGUAUCUGUCAAGGAAUUUCUCCUGUUGAUAAUUAUGAGAAUUCUUAUAAGCUGGUUCGGUGCAUUUGUGGGGGAUUGAUUCUUUGUGUUUCUUUUAAUUUAUAUUGUUUAAAACUUGACAUUAUCAGUUUCAUCUUUCUUCUGUUGUCUAUUAAUUUUUUAUAAAUGCCUUUAAUUAUCUACCAUUUUGAUAUCUGAGUAAAAUCUUCACAUGAGAAUGUUUAAUUUCUUGAGAUCAGUAACUUUAGAAUGUUUCUGACGAUAUUUAGUGGAGCGAAUGGUAUACAUGAUAAUCUUGUAGUACUCAGCUAUAUCCCCUCAUUCUUAUUUUCCUUAGUAUAAUGGGACCAAGAUAAGCAUGCACAAGAUAAGUCAAGAUAAUGGGACCAAGAACAUUCCAUGUCAUGAGACCAGGAUAAGCACAAGAUAAAAUGUAGAAUGACCUCUUCCAUAACAUGUGAAGGUGUAUAUCACCCCAGCACUGCUGUUAACAAGUACAAUGAAUAAUUUUGAUCUGUUUGUUUUCUGGAUACAUGUAUUGAGUUACAAAUAGUCCUGGUUCCCAUUGCACUGAGGCCUUUUAUUCAAUUAUUAUUUAAUAUCACUUGAAUGUGAUGGCUUUGCUAUAAGUCAAAUAGUUUUAGUUUCAGACAAUUUACAUUACAACUUGUUUCAUCUGAGAAAACAGUUUGUUUCAAUCUUCUAUUUUCACAAAUAAUUAUAAAAAAUCAUUUUAAGAUUUGUACAAAAGGGAAACAAGAUAUUUUGUCCAUUAUGGACACUAAAGCUGUACUUUGCUAUAACUAUGGAUAGCCAAAUCAUAUGCUUUUGUGUGAAGUUUCGAAUUUGUUAUUUUAUGUUCUUGGAAGUGUAAUGAAAGGAAUGCUGUUGACGGGUGUUGUAUAAUUUCAUGCUUUACUGGUAUUUCUGGUAUGUGUAGUUAAGUUUUUAUUGAAAAUAUGAUUGUAUGUCCAAUAGUUUCAUAUUCUUUAGGAAUUGAUAUAACAAAAUCGUGAUAAAACUACGAACUCUAUAACCAACAAUAUUUCGAAUGCAAUAAUUGACUUUAACAUAUUAUUCAUCGGUAGGAACAAUACGAGAUUUCAAUGAUGAACCCUCAUUUCCUUAUUAGCCCUCAAUUAGGUUGAAACAAUGAUAAAUCUCAAAUGUGUAUUAUCUGUAACUAGAUUUUAAUUUCUUCAAGUACGUUAGGACCUUCAAGCUUACCUUUUUUUAUCAGCUUCAAGCUUACAUUUGAUGUAUUUAUUAAAUUUGAGCACAUUUCUUUGUAUUUGUUGCUUUUCAAUUAUGCAUUGAAAGCUUUCUUGAUUACUGCGGUUUUAAAAUUCUCAUUUUCUUGGAUUGAGCACAGGUGAGACGUAUUUGAAAAAAGCCAGAUGGGAGAUAUAACAAAGAAAUUAAGGUUACAAAUCAUUCAACUACUUUUUUUUUAUUAGCAAAGAAUUAAUAAAUUAAUUCUAUGCUGUUCUAUGGUUUUAUAUCAGGUUACAAAUCAUUCAACUAUCUUGAUUAAAAUCUUUUCAUAUCUGUGAUGUUCUAUGGUUUUAUAUCAGGUAGUGUGUUAUAUAUUUAGAAAGAACCUUUAUCUAAGAUGAUAAACACAGUACGUAUAUAUGUCAAUAAGUUUUUUAUUUUGUUGGGAUUAGAAUAUCUUGUAAAACUUAUAUCUUGGGCAUGGUUAAUGAAGAAAAUGAAAAUCAAUCUGUUUUCAGAUUUGUGUCAGUCCUACAAUUUGUAUUAGGUAAAAUCUUUGAUUUUCUGUUUGCAUGGUUAUUGUAUGCUACUGAAUAAAUCUUCUUCCUAUAAAAACAAUCCAAGACUAGUGUUGAUAUACAAAUAAACAGGUAGCGAGUAAUGUUUUAAACUUUGAGAGUUUGCUGUAUGUAUGGCACCAAGAUAUAUCUAAUUUUUUUUGGUACAAUUGACUUUUUAAUCAAUAUUCAAAAGUUGAAUGAGUUUAAGCAUGCUACAGAAGAAGGGUAAGGUCAAAUUUCUCAGUAAUAUUACCAAAACUAAUUAAGAAUUUUUUAGGAUAUCGUAGAAUUUCUCAUAAACUUUAUCCAUAUAGUUGAAAUUGAGAAGUUGGAAUGUGAAGAAAAUGAACAUAUUCUGGAUGAUGGACAAUGGUUGGUGCAAGAAUGGAUUCAUAUAAGUACUUCAACUUGAAACCUAAAUGCACAAGUAGCCACAUAAGUUCGUUGGGGAGAGGGCAUAUGAAUUCAGGUUUACCUAAAGAGAGAACACAGUACAUACACAGGCCUUGGCUGGAAAUUGAUGUUGUGAAAAGGCCAUACAUAAGAAGGGAAAAUAGAAAAGAAAAUACUGUAACAGGUUUAGUCGAAGCAGCUAGGGCUUUGACUUUGAUCGGAUAUGCUUAGAAGAUGUUCUAAAUAGUCAACUCCCAAAUCCUCUAACACCACCACACUUUGUGUUGGAUCCUCUGAUGUGUCUUUCCCUUUAAACUUUUUAGCUUUUGAUGACAACUUUCUUCGGAUGCAGUGCCUCUCCUUGAGUGCAAGUGCGGGAGAAGAACCACUGAAGCAGCUAUAUUGGAUCUCCUGCAAAGACUCUUUCACCCUUUUCACUGGAAAAUUGAGCACAGCAUUAUGGCCUCUCAUGGAGAAUGCAGCUUGGUCAUAAGCUAACGCAGCAGCUUCUGCACUGUCAAAGGUUCCAAGCCAAACCCUUGUGCCAUUCCUGGUUGUGUCUCUGAUCUCUGCUGCAUAUUUUCCCCAAGGCCUUUUCCUCACACCUUUGUACGACCUCUCCUUAUUCUCCAAUUCUUCAGUCUUCACCACCAUUUGGUUGUGAUUUCCUUGUGCUUGUGCCGUGGAGAAAUCAACCAUAUCGAAGGAAAGAGAAUCGUGA